CACCCCCCGACCCCACAGACACGUGCAGCCUACAGCCCACAAGCGGCGCCUGUCUCUGUGGAAGAAGGCCAUCCCCCCAGGCGGGGACACGGCCACCAGGACACCAUCCCAAAGACCCCGAGCCUGGCGCUCCUCCUGGAGGGAGCCCCAUGGAAAGGCCUCGCAGAGGCAGUUUCAGCGGCCCGCGCCCAAGUCCAAGCCACCCAGAGACGUCCAGGAGCAGGUCUGCAGAAAGAGGGGCUGGGCGGCCUUGACCCAGAGAAUUAUUGAAACCUUAAAACUGAUCUAGUGGCGACAUGGGCCUCCGUGGCAAGCCGGGGAGCGACUGAUCUGGGCCUGCGGAAUCGUGGGGGAGGGCUGGGCUUGUCUCAAUGAAGCCGCAGCUCGUCAGGACCAGCCCCCAGGAUGGAAGGCAGAAGGGGCCUGUGGGCAAAAUACUUGCGCUGUCUGAGCCUCAGUUUCUGCGUCUGUAAAAUGUGCCGAAAUCUAGUUCAACGUCACCUCUGCCGCUGUGCCUGACAGACGGGACUGGGAUGCCUCUUCCAGUAAAAUCGUCAGAAGCCGCAGAAUAGAGUGGAAGGAAGUGGCAGUUCCGGGAUACCCCCAGCAGCUGCACGCUCUGCCAAGACGGAGCCGGUGACAGAAGAGAGGUUGAACCCUUGUGAGCACCUUUGCCUCCAGCCAAGUCACGCCCCGCUCUCCUGUCCAGCGGGUUUUGUCCAGCUGGAAUUUAACAGCACCUGAUGGCUGACAUCUUUUGGCAAGGAAAGGGCCAGAAGAACAGGCUGGUAGAACCCCCUGGGGAGCCCCCAUGUGCCCUAUAUCCUGCGCUUGCCACCGCUGGCUCUCUGCCUGAAUAAAUCCUUGCUGUGUCACGUGG